rnacentral:rRNA from 1 species
GACGAACGCUGGCGGCGUGCCUAACACAUGCAAGUCAACUUGACGGAAGGAGCAAUCUGACCGUAGAGUGGCGCAAGGGUGCGUAACGCGUAAGUAACUUGCCCCAAGGUAAGGAAUAACGUCGAGAAAUCGGCGCUAAUACCUCAUAAUGCAGCGGAUCCGCAUGGAUAUGUUGUUAAAGGUUUACCGCCUUGGGAUAGGCUUGCGUCUGAUUAGCUAGUUGGUGUGGUAACGGCACACCAAGGCUACGAUCAGUAACUGGUCUGAGAGGAUGAUCAGUCACACUGGAACUGAGACACGGUCCAGACUCCUACGGGAGCAGCAGUGAGGAAUAUUGGGCAAUGCUCGAAAGAGUGACCCAGCAACGCCGCGUGGAGGAUGAAGGUAUUCUAUAUCGUAAACUCCUGUGAGAGCAGACGAAAGACAGAUUAUUAAUCUGGAUGACUGUAUGCUCAG